AAUUAUUUAGCUUAAAUUAAAGCUUAUGUUUUGAAAACAUAUUAUAGAAAUAAUAUUCUAAUAAUUU
rnacentral:tRNA from 1 species